rnacentral:rRNA from 1 species
AACGCGAAGAACCUUACCUGGGUUUGACAUGCACAGGACGCUGGUAGAGAUAUCAGUUCCCUUGUGGUCUGUGUGCAGGUGCUGCAUGGCUGUCGUCAGCUCGUGUCGUGAGAUGUUGGGUUAAGUCCCGCAACGAGCGCAACCCUUGUCCUGUGUUGCCAUCAUUCAGUUGGGAACUCGCAGGAGACCGCCAGGGAUAACCUGGAGGAAGGUGGGGAUGACGUCAAGUCCUCAUGGCCUUUAUGUCCAGGGCUACACACGUGCUACAAUGGACGGUACAAAGGGCUGCCAACCCGCAAGGGGGAGCCAAUCCCAAAAAACCGUUCUCAGUUCGGAUUGCAGGCUGCAACUCGCCUGCAUGAAGCUGGAAUCGCUAGUAAUGGCGGAUCAGAACGCCGCCGUGAAUACGUUCCCGGGCCUUGUACACACCGCUCGCGA